rnacentral:rRNA from 1 species
GAUGAACGCUGGCGGCGUGCCUAAUACAUGCAAGUCGAACGAGGUGCUCUUGUAGCAAUACGAGGGUAUCCUAGUGGCGAACGGGUGAGUAACGCGUUGGUGACCUGCCCCGAAGUGUGGGAUAACAGUCCGAAAGAACUGCUAAUACCGCAUGCGGUCAUCGGGUUUAGAAACCGAUGACCAAAGCAGCAAUGCGCUUUGGGAGGGACCUGCGUCCCAUCAGCUCGUUGGUAGGGUGACGGCCUACCAAGGCGACGACGGGUAGGGGACCUGAGAGGGUGACCCCCCACAAUGGAACUGAAAUACGGUCCAUACACCUACGGGUGGCAGCAGUAGGGAAUAUUGCACAAUGGGCGAAAGCCUGAUGCAGCAACGCCGCGUGCACGAUGAAGGUCUUCGGAUCGUAAAGCACUUUAAGUUGGGAGGAAGGGUAUUCACCUAAUACGUGGGUACUUUGACGUUACCAACAGAAUAAGCACCGGCUAACUCU